UUGAGCCACAGCGCUAAGAAGGCCCAAUGCUCGUUGCCCAGCUCUCUGCCAAGGAGAUAAAGCUGUGUGGGCUUACCUUCCCAAUCUCUUGUCUCUGAAAUCUGUACACAAACAAUCUCUCUCUCUCUCUCUCUCUCUCUCUCUCUCUCUCUCCUGGUAAGUGUGGAAGGAAGAAGGAUGCCCAGGCCAGGACCGAGGCCUUACGAGUGCGUGAGAAGAGUAUGGCACAGCGACCGGCAUCAGCCCAUCAGAGGGUCACUCAUCCAAGAGAUCUUCAGGUUGGCGAAUGAGGUGCACUGCAACGCCACCAGGAAGAACAAGGAAUGGCAGGAGAAGCUCCCUUUUGUAGUUUUAAAGGCCGAGGAGAUCAUGUACUCCAAAGCUAACUCGGAGGCAGAGUACAUGGAUUUGAAGACUCUGUGGGACAGAGCUAAUGAUGCCAUUGACACCAUAAUUCGCAAGGAUGAUGCCAAUGAGAGUGGAGAUCUUCUUCAGCCCUGCAUUGAAGCUGCUCUCAAUCUGGGCUGCAUUCCUCGGAGAGCAUCGAGGAGCCAGCGGCACAGCAAUCCAGUCUCUUAUCUGAGCCCCAACUCGAAAGAACUAACCGAUGUCUCUCAAAAGCCUCAAGACGACAGCAAAACUAAUCAACUUUGUUCAAAAAGUAUGUUACCACCACUCAUGCCAGGGCAGUCCAGCAAUCUCCAUGGCUCUGCAACUCAAGUCAGAUCAAAGAACUCAGCUGCAGGGCCGGAGAUUCAGUUUAUGCCAUCUACCGCUUCGAAAGGCCAAAACCCCUUCUUGGAAAUUCCAAAUAAGGACUUAGCAUGCAAAGCUAGAGGCUUUCCCGUCCCAGUGGAUUUGGGUUUUGUAUACCCUCUGUAUUAUGGAGAUGGACAUCAUUCUCUCCCCACACUUCAGUCACAGCCACAUGUGAACCCUCAGGAACUUAGAGAAACGAAGCCUUCUGUUCAAUGUAAUGGGAUGGCCUUCAUUAUCCGCAACAUUUCAGAAGGUUUAGAUGGAAUCGCUGAUUGUGACAAGACGAGCAAGCUUGCACCGGGCACUGAGUGCGACCUUUCGUUGCGCCUCGGCCUACCUUCACCCCCAAGCUCAGAUUUCGAGAGUGCCUGGGCCCGUGAAGUUGAGGAUGUGGGAUCAAGUAGCUCUUGCGAUGGAGCCAAAUCCUGGGGCGCACUUCGGAAUGUAGCUGGGGCCAUGAACAUUGAAAGAUCACUUUCGUCAGCGAGAGAUAAGUGGUUUGAUUUCUUCUCGGUGGAGAAUGUCGACGAACACUACGAGUCCUGCACAAGUAAGCAGAGCUCACGGGGUGAUUGUGCAUUUACGUGAAUGCCUAUGGUAAAAAUGAAUAGUUUUAUACUUCUGGUGCGUUAACUGAUGAUGGCUUCAGCUGGAAGCCGUAAGGAUCAGCGAUUUUAGAACUGUUUCGUCGCCUGCUUGGGAUGAAAGAGAUGAUGGAGAGACAGAUAUGGAUCCCAAGCAUCGGGGGGUUUUGUAAUAAUGUCUUAUUUUCAACUCAAUUAUUGGCUUCUACAUCGCCUUUAGAUAUAUAUAUAUAUACACGUUUUACCCGCUGCUGUCUAGCAGCAUGACCAACAUUUUAUCAAGUGCUGUAAAAGUGCAAUUUGUAUGGGAUCUUAUGCGCUGUAUCAAAUGUGGGGGUGAAUUUACAUACAUAUCACAUAAUUCUUAUGUAUUUCUAUUGCUAUCACCCAGACUUGAAUAUGUACACUUAUAACCUUUGGUGGCAGACACCUUUGCAUGAA